GGAAUCGGAUCAAAGCAAACCAGGAAAGAAACCCUUGAAAGGGAGGAGUUGGAUCACAACAAGGAAACAAAACCCGACACUGCAAACACAUGAAAGCGCACAAUACAAGAAUGUUUUCAACUUUUGGAUAGAAAAUGCGUUCCACCUUAUGUCAACAUCAUCAUCGUCACUCCUCACUACAACCAUCACUACCAGAGAGUUUUCACUUUCAGUUUACAACCAUCCAGUUCCUGGAAAUUCAAAACCAAAUCAAUAAUAGGUUUGAGUAUAGACACAACUACUAUACCACAAAUGGAGCAAUCCAAACCUCUCCAUUCAUCCCUGACACGGCUGCUUCAGCUUCGGAGUGACUGCUGAAUGUGACAAAUCCAAAACCUCUCGACCUUCCUGUGUCUCUCUAUCCCUCAUUACGAUUGCUGGCUUGCUGCCCACACCAAAAAGUUGGUUUUAUGUGAAACAUAAACCCCACUUAACUAGAAACUCGGAAUGAGGAAAAAAAAAACUAGAAACUCGGAAAUAUUUGGAGAGUGAUCCAAAGGCUGUUACCAUCUUGCACUUGACCGUAGUCAGAAAAAGCUUGCCUCAAGGUAUCAUCGGUAGUGGUCGAUGAGAGAACUGAAGCGAUCAUCAAAUAUGCAGUAAAGCUUUCAAAUCACAAAACCUGGCUAAAGCAAAUUCGAUAAUGAACAUCUCAAAGAAGAAAGAAAUGAUUACUUUCUACGUAAACCUUGGUAGACAUCAAG
rnacentral:lncRNA from 1 species